rnacentral:rRNA from 1 species
CUCGUAGGUGGCCAACUAAGUCAGACGUGAAAUCCCUCAGCUUAACUGGGGAACUGCGUCUGAUACUGGAUGGCUUGAGUUUGGGAGAGGGAUGCGGAAUUCCAGGUGUAGCGGUGAAAUGCGUAGAUAUCUGGAGGAACACCGGUGGCGAAGGCGGCAUUCUGGACCAACACUGACACUGAGGAGCGAAAAGCCAGGGGAAGCAAACG